GACGAACGCUGGCGGCGUGCUUAACACAUGCAAGUCGAACGGUAAGGCUCCAGCUUGCUGGGGUACACGAGUGGCGAACGGGUGAGUAACACGUGGGUGACCUGCCCUGCACUUCGGGAUAAGCCUGGGAAACUGGGUCUAAUACCGGAUAGGACCGCACCGUGAGGGUGUGGUGGAAAGUUUUUUCGGUGUGGGAUGGGCCCGCGGCCUAUCAGCUUGUUGGUGGGGUAAUGGCCUACCAAGGCGGCGACGGGUAGCCGGCCUGAGAGGGUGGACGGCCACAUUGGGACUGAGACACGGCCCAGACUCCUACGGGAGGCAGCAGUGGGGAAUAUUGCACAAUGGGCGGAAGCCUGAUGCAGCGACGCCGCGUGGGGGAUGACGGCCUUCGGGUUGUAAACUCCUUUCACCAUCGACGAAGGGUUUCUGACGGUAGAUGGAGGAGAAGCACCGGCUAACUACGUGCCAGCAGCCGCGGUAAUACGUAGGGUGCGAGCGUUGUCCGGAAUUACUGGGCGUAAAGAGCUCGUAGGUGGUUUGUCGCGUCGUCUGUGAAAUUCCGGGGCUUAACUCCGGGCGUGCAGGCGAUACGGGCAUAACUUGAGUACUGUAGGGGAGACUGGAAUUCCUGGUGUAGCGGUGAAAUGCGCAGAUAUCAGGAGGAACACCGGUGGCGAAGGCGGGUCUCUGGGCAGUAACUGACGCUGAGGAGCGAAAGCAUGGGGAGCGAACAGGAUUAGAUACCCUGGUAGUCCAUGCCGUAAACGGUGGGCGCUAGGUGUGGGUUUCCUUCCACGGGAUCCGUGCCGUAGCUAACGCAUUAAGCGCCCCGCCUGGGGAGUACGGCCGCAAGGCUAAAACUCAAAGGAAUUGACGGGGGCCCGCACAAGCGGCGGAGCAUGUGGAUUAAUUCGAUGCAACGCGAAGAACCUUACCUGGGCUUGACAUAUACAGGAUCGCGCCAGAGAUGGUGUUUCCCUUGUGGCUUGUAUACAGGUGGUGCAUGGUUGUCGUCAGCUCGUGUCGUGAGAUGUUGGGUUAAGUCCCGCAACGAGCGCAACCCUUGUCUUAUGUUGCCAGCACGUUGUGGUGGGGACUCGUAAGAAACUGCCGGGGUUAACUCGGAGGAAGGUGGGGAUGACGUCAAAUCAUCAUGCCCCUUAUGUCCAGGGCUUCACACAUGCUACAAUGGUCGGUACAGUGGGUUGCCAGUCCGUGAGGGCGAGCUAAUCCCGCAAAGCCGGUCUCAGUUCGGAUCGGGGUCUGCAACUCGACCCCGUGAAGUCGGAGGCGCUAGUAAUCGCAGAUCAGCAACGCUGCGGUGAAUACGUUCCCGGGCCU
rnacentral:rRNA from 1 species